rnacentral:rRNA from 1 species
UACGUAGGGUGCGAGCGUUAAUCGGAAUUACUGGGCGUAAAGCGUGCGCAGGCGGUGAUGUAAGACAGAUGUGAAAUCCCCGGGCUCAACCUGGGAACUGCAUUUGUGACUGCAUCGCUGGAGUGCGGCAGAGGGGGACGGAAUUCCGCGUGUAGCAGUGAAAUGCGUAGAUAUGCGGAGGAACACCGAUGGCGAAGGCAAUCCCCUGGGCCUGCACUGACGCUCAUGCACGAAAGCGUGGGGAGCAAACAGG